rnacentral:rRNA from 1 species
AUGCUAGAUUAUAAUUCGGAAAACACCGAAUACAUGGAAGAAGAUGGCGGAGCCACAACUAAUACCGAUGUUGCACCCCCAUCACCGGCCGCUGGCCAGCCACGCCCACCUACAAUAUUUACAUGGUGGAUGCCCCCAAGGACGGCGAUGGCACUCCCAAUCAGGACCGAGAAAAGCUCGGAGAUGAGCCGCCCAAACGCCGAAGACAUCGCCAUUGAUCUAAGCCACGUCGAAGCCACGCGAGCAACAUGGACUCCGCGGAGAACGACAUCGCGAAUAAUACGGAUUGGAGCUGCAGCUAACGAACAUCAUCAGGAUGACCCCGCGGGGCAGGAGCACCCGUUCAACCCAAAAAACCCCAAUGACUCCGAAGACAGCAACUACCUCCCAUCCUCUGAAGAGGAGGCCAGUCUCGGGGAUGACGAUUUCAUCGUCCCCGAAGACUCGCUGGAGCAGGAACAGUUCAAGCGGAGGCUUCUAGCCACCGCCCGCAGCCUGAAGAAACAAAAGCGCAAAAUCAAGGCCGAACAUGACACCCUCAAUGAUCGAUGGACCAAAGUCCUAGCCGCCAAAGAAGGGUAUGGCCGCGAACAGCCAAUCAAAAGCUAUCCCAAGUGCAGAUUGCUGCCGCAGUUCGAUGUCGAGGCCGUAGAGCCAACACGUCCGACAUAUACACGCACCGAACAGUCGGACCGCCCCCCUAGAGGGCGGGGCAGAGAAGCUGACGAGGCCGAGCACCCCGCCGCCCCACCUCGCCGUCACGGCAAGGAUCAAGUGCGGCCGGCCUACGAAUACGACCUCCGCCAUGACCUAGACGCUCGAGGAGGCUGUACCAGGUCCAUUUAUGGACCAGAGAAGACCCGCCCACUCAUCGGGAAGGAUAUUACGAUUGGCUGA